rnacentral:lncRNA from 1 species
UUAAUUAAGUUAUAUUUAGAUUUUUUAGGUUGAUCAGGUUAUAUCAUGCCAAUUUACUCUUUGCCCAAUUUGAAAUCUAAGCUAACCAAGGAGCUAAGUCGUCUCUAGGUUGAAUCACCGGAUUGACUUGGUUUUGAUGCCAUGGCCAAAGAGUUUUAUGUGAUAACACAUAUUCGAUUUACUAUUUUUAUGUUUUUUAAAUAAAUUUAUGUUAAAAUUAUCAUAAUUUAUCUAAAAAACAUAUAUUCUUUUUAUUUUUUAAAUGCCAAUUGAUAACUAGAGUACGCUGGUAAGAUAAAAGGAGAUUAGAAAGAUGCCACUUUUAUUCUUGUUUCAAAUUGUUUAGAAUUUUUUUGGAUAAAAUUAAAAAAAUCAUGGGUAUAUAUUUUUUUUAACGUUAAAAUUUUUAAUCCAAUCUGCAGUGAAAUACAGGACCAUUCACUAGUUUAAUCUAAUUUUAG